AUACCAUGAUGAGGGUAUUUUUUUAAUAAUUCCUUUAAUCUCUCCCAUGCCUCAUACAAGGAUUCAUCAUCCAAUUUUUGAAAUGUAGUGAUCUGAUUUUGCAACU
rfam:Gossypium hirsutum cultivar TM-1 chromosome 3, whole genome shotgun sequence